UGACCGCUGGCGGCGUGCUUACCACAUGCACGUCGACCGACGCACUUUAUUUGAUUUCCUUCGGGACUGAUUAUUUUGUGACUGAGUGGCGGACGGGUGAGUAACGCGUGGGUAACCUGCCUUGUACAGGGGGAUAACAGUUGGAAACGGCUGCUAAUACCGCAUAAGCGCACGGCAUCGCAUGAUGCAGUGUGAAAAACUCCGGUGGUAUAAGAUGGACCCGCGUUGGAUUAGCUAGUUGGUGAGGUAACGGCCCACCAAGGCGACGAUCCAUAGCCGACCUGAGAGGGUGACCGGCCACAUUGGGACUGAGACACGGCCCAAACUCCUACGGGAGGCAGCAGUGGGGAAUAUUGCACAAUGGGCGAAAGCCUGAUGCAGCGACGCCGCGUGAGCGAAGAAGUAUUUCGGUAUGUAAAGCUCUAUCAGCAGGGAAGAUAAUGACGGUACCUGACUAAGAAGCACCGGCUAAAUACGU
rnacentral:rRNA from 1 species